rnacentral:rRNA from 1 species
AUUGAACGCUAGCGGGAUGCCUUACACAUGCAAGUCGAACGGAGUGGCGAACGGGUGAGUAAUGUAUCGGAACGUGCCCAGUAGCGGGGGAUAACUACGCGAAAGCGUAGCUAAUACCGCAUACUAUUGGAGCGGCCGUUAUCGGAUUAGCUAGUUGGGGGGGUAACGGCUCACCAAGGCGACGACCCGGAGCGGGGUUGAGAGGACGACCAGCCACACUGGGACUGAGACACGGCCCAGACUCCUACGGGAGGCAGCAGUGGGGAAUUUUGGACAAUGGGGGAAAGCCUGAUCCAGCCAUCCCGCGUGUGCGAUGAAGGCCUUCGGGUUGUAAAGCACUGUUGGCAGGAAAGCGGUACCUGAAGAGGAAGCACCGGCUAACUACGUGCCAGCCGCCGCGGUAAUUC